rnacentral:lncRNA from 10 species
UUUGGGAAGACUGAUUUGAGUAAAAUGCCUGAUUCUCCUGUGUGGCCAGUCUCGUGUCAAUUAAACUCUCUACUACAAUGCCAUGGUGUCAAUGCAUCUUGUCUGUGCAGUGCGCAGAAAGAACCCACUGGCAAUUACAUUACCAGUAGCUAUCGCUCUUCUGUCCUUCAAACAGGAAAUACUUCAACCCUGGAUGUCUAUGUUAUCUCACUUUAUCUGUACAGCAAUCCUGUCCUCCAGUGACUAUAUUGCAAUGAGUUAAGAAGAGAGUUUCAGAAAGAUAACAUGCCUGGCCAAGGCUGCUGCCAAGAGGAAAUGAAUGGUGUCUUUGAGAUAUUCACAAACAUCCGGUGCGGAUGGGGAAGCUCACUUUGAGAGCCAGCGUUUAUUCUAUUUUCUGUAUUUGAUCCAUUCUCAACAAAGGCCGUUCCCAACCCUAUCUUUCACAGUGUCUUUCUGCUGCACCAGAUGUUGGAAUAAAUCUGUAUUUCUUU